CACGGGUGCGUAACACGUGGGUAACCUGCCCUUUAGUGGGGAAUAACCCCGGGAAACCGGGGCUAAUACCGCAUAAGAUCCGCAAGGAUGAAAGCCGUAAGGCGCUGAUGGAGGGGCCCGCGCACGAUUAGCUAGUUGGUAGGGUAACGGCCUACCAAGGCUAUGAUCGUUAGCUGGUCUGAGAGGAUGGCCAGCCACACUGGAACUGAGACACGGUCCAGACUCCUACGGGAGGCAGCAGUGGGGAAUCUUGCACAAUGGGCGAAAGCCUGAUGCAGCGACGCCGCGUGGGGGAUGAAGCUUCUCGGAGUGUAAACCCCUUUCGACCCGGACGAAUGCCCGCAAGGGAUUGACGGUACGGGUAUAAGAAGCCCCGGCUAACUACGUGCCAGCAGCCGCGGUAAGACGUAGGGGGCCAGCGUUGUUCGGAAUUACUGGGU
rnacentral:rRNA from 1 species